UACGGAGGAGGCAAGCGUUAUCCGGAAUUAUUGGGCGUAAAGCGUCCGUAGGUGGCUCUCUCAAGUCUGCGGUCAAAGACCGGGGCUCAACCCUGGAAUUGCCUUUAAGACUGCAUCGCUUGAACAUCGGAGAGGUAAGUGGAAUUCCGAGUGUAGAGGUGAAAUUCGUAGAUAUUCGCAAGAACACCAGUGGCGAAGGCGGCUCACUGGCCCGAUACUGACGCUGAGGUGCGAAAGCGUGGGGAGCAAACAGG
rnacentral:rRNA from 1 species